CCUACGGGUGGCAGCAGUGGGGAAUAUUGCACAAUGGGGGAAACCCUGAUGCAGCAACGCCGCGUGAGUGAGGAAGUAUUUCGGUAUGUAAAGCUCUAUCAGCAGGGAAUAGAAAAGAAGGUACCUGAAAAAGAAGCGCCGGCUAACUACGUUCCAGCAGCGGCGGUAAUACGUAGGGAGCAGGCGUUGUCCGGAAUUAAUGGGCGUAAAGGGCGCGUAGGUGGGCGCUUAAGUCAUGUGUGAAAACUCCGGGCUCAACGUGGGAACUGCUUUUGAAACUGGCAAACUAGAGUGUGUGAGAGGAUAGUGGAAUUCCAGGUGUAGGAGUGAAAUCCGUAGAUAUCUGGAGGAACAUCAGUGGCGAAGGCGACUAUCUGGCACAUAACUGACGCUGAGGAGCGAAAGCGUGGGUAGCAAACAGGAUUAGAUACCCCUGUAGUC
rnacentral:rRNA from 1 species